CACGUAGGGGGCAAGCGUUGUCCGGAAUCAUUGGGCGUAAAGAGCGUGUAGGCGGUCCGGUAAGUCCGCUGUGAAAGUCGGGGGCUCAACCCUCGAAUGCCGGUGGAUACUGUCGGGCUAGAGUGCGGAAGAGGCGAGUGGAAUUCCUGGUGUAGCGGUGAAAUGCGCAGAUAUCAGGAGGAACACCUAUUGCGAAGGCAGCUCGCUGGGACGUUACUGACGCUGAGACGCGAAAGCGUGGGGAGCAAACAGG
rnacentral:rRNA from 1 species